UGCCUAUAUAUUGGGCAUGUCGCAGCUCCUGUUCUGCCUUCACACAGCUAGUAAUUAAUCUACAAGGUUACUCCGGUGAACACAGCUGGGCAUUAUUGGGCUGUAGCUUUCUCACGAACCGCCUGAUGGACAGCAGCAACGCGAACCGCUCGCAGUCGCAGCCUCCUCCAGGCUACCCGAGGUUGGACGACGCGGAGCAGCAGGGCGGCGGCGGCAGGAGGAAGAAGAAGGGGUGCUGCGGACCGCGCCGCCGCGCGGCGACGGCCAAGCGCGGCGAGGCGAGCUUCAUCGAGGGAUGCAUCGCCGCGCUCUGCUGCUGCUGGCUCUGCGAGCUCUGCUGUGAUUAACUUGCUGAUCCAAAAGAAGAAGGUGGUGCGCAAUGUAACACACAAGGAGCCACCGUGGCAGGCGGAGAUUGAUCUUAAAUGACGAUCAGGAUGUAGUUAUACGUUGUACACAUUUUAAUCUCCAUGUGUUGUUCCUGGUGUAUCAUCCAUGGAAAUAAAAAUCAAGAUCUGUCACACUUGA